AUAAACGCUUGCGGCGUGCAUGAGACAUGCAAGUCGAACGAAGGAUCGGGCUUGCUCGAUCCUUAGUGGCGGACGGCUGAGUAACGCGUAGGUGACCUACCCCGAAGUGGGGAAUAACUGCCCGAAAGGGUGGCUAAUACCGCAUGUGGUCGCACGUUCAUUCGUGCGAGUAAAGCCGCAAGGCGCUUCGGGAGGGGCCUGCGUCCGAUUGGCUCGUUGGUGGGGUAAUGGCUUACCAAGGCGACGAGCGGUAGGUGGACUGUGAGGACGAUCACCCGGACUGGGACUGGGACACGACCCAGACGCGUGCGGGAGGCAGCGGACGGGAAUUUUGCGGAAUGGGGGAAACCCUGAAGCAGCGACGCCGCGUGAGGGAUGAAGGCCUUGGGGUUGUAAACCUCUUUUGUCAGGGACGAUGAUGACGGUACCUGGAGAAUAAGCCACGGCUAACUACGUG
rnacentral:rRNA from 1 species